rnacentral:lncRNA from 1 species
UAUUUUAUAGUCAUUGAAUCAAAUGGAAACACCAAUAGUAUUGAUGAGCAUACUUGUGUGUGUCAUACUUGCUAAGGCAAGAUUAGCCAAUACUCGUGAUUCUUCGUUAUAAAGAAUUAUCAAAAGUUCGACCCUUCGAUCCUCUUCAAAGAAACAUUAUCACACAUUCCAAAUGAAAAUAUAAGAACCAAUUAAAUCGCAUGAACAAGUAAACACGCAAUAUUUAUCAAGUUAUUUACACCAAAGAAAAGGAGAACACUUGUAAUAAAACGGUACUUUUCCGGACUCUCGUAUAAUAGGAAACAAAUAACAUGAUAUUCAAUAAGAUUGAUUAAUUAAUUACCAAAAUUUGCAAUAUUUCGAUUAUGCAUAGAUAGAACAUAAUUCUUGUAAGAGAAAUUCAAUCUUUAUAUGUAUAGAAGCAAGAUAUCAAGUUUUCGAGAUUUUAACAACAAACAAGUCAGGAUCAAAUAACAAAAUCAAAGACUCGUACAUCAAAAUUUUAAAUUUUAACAAAUACCCAUUUCCUUGAAUCUAUUUACUACUAGUGAAUGCACGUGCAACGUGGGUGAUGUAGUGUAAGAAAUAAUGUUGAAAUUCGGUUAUGUGGUACUUCAACGAAAAAUGAAACUUAUUUGAAGGCUGAUGACAUUGGAUUAUAUAAAAUAUGUGUUCACACGUACUUACAUUGGCGGUGGUAAUAUGAAGUAAAAACCAGAGCCCUUACAUGCCACACUUGAAUACAUGGGUUUUAACAUGUUAAUAUGUAUAAUGAACAAAAUCAAGUAUGGCAAAUAGAGAUGUUGUAGAAUCUGAAUUGAGAGAUGCUAGGGCUCGAACCCAGACCAGGUUCUGCUCAAGGCAAUGGAUGACUGUCAAUUACUGUUAGGUGAGGCAGAAAUUUGACAAGUUUGGAAAAGGAAAAUUAAGUUCACCAUUUGAGCAUAUAGUGCACAAGAACAAUAGAUUUGGAUAUAAAAUACAUUAAUGAUAUUGAAAUGGUGUUCCUCUUUCAAAAGAAAGGUAUAUCUACAUGUUUAGAAUCCAAUUUUAUACAUGUUUUCAUUUAUAUAUUCUGGAAGUUGCUACAUUUGAGACUUAAAAAUAUUACAACUUGAAUGAAUUAAAUCUAGCAAUCUCGUUUUCAAAUGAAGAAAGAGUUUGAGAGGACAUUAUGUGCUCUUAAUUUAGAUUAAAAAAUUGAUAAACAGAUGUUUAAAGUUAAUGAUUUUGAUUUAUUGUGGAUCAAAGUUUCAAAUAAA